rnacentral:rRNA from 1 species
AACGAACGCUGGCGGCAGGCCUAACACAUGCAAGUCGAGCGAAGUCUUCGGACUUAGCGGCGGACGGGUGAGUAACGCGUGGGAACGUGCCCUGGGGUGCGGAACAACCGCUGGAAACGGCGGCUAAUACCGCAUGAUGUCCUUCGGGACCAAAGAUUUAUCGCCCUGGGAUCGGCCCACGUCGGAUUAGGUAGUUGGUGGGGUAAUGGCCUACCAAGCCGAUGAUCCGUAGCUGGUUUGAGAGGAUGAUCAGCCACACUGGGACUGAGACACGGCCCAGACUCCUACGGGAGGCAGCAGUGGGGAAUCUUGGACAAUGGGGGCAACCCUGAUCCAGCCAUGCCGCGUGAGCGAUGAAGGCCUUAGGGUUGUAAAGCUCUUUCACCGGUGAAGAUAAUGACGGUAGCCGGAGAAGAAGCCCCGGCUAACUCCGUGCCAGCCGCCGCGGUAAGAC